AUUGAACGCUGGCGGCAGGCCUAACACAUGCAAGUCGAGCGGUAGCACAGAGAGCUUGCUCUCGGGUGACGAGCGGCGGACGGGUGAGUAAUGUCUGGGAAACUGCCUGAUGGAGGGGGAUAACGUUUGGAAACGAACGCUAAUACCGCGUAAUCUCGCGAGAGUAAAGGUGGCGCCGCAAGGGCUACCGUCCAAGGAUUGGCUCAUGUCCCAUUAGCUAGUUGGCGGGGUAAUGGCCCACGAAGGCAACGAUGGGUAACCGGUCUGAGAGGAUGAUCAGUCACACUGGAACUGAGACACGGUCCAGACUCCUACGGGAGGCAGCAGUAGGGAAUAUUGCACAAUGGGGGAAACCCUGAUGCAGCAACGCCGCGUGAGUGAAGAAGGCCCUUGGGUUGUAAAGCUCUUUAGCGUGGGAAGAAGGUAGAUACGGUGAAUAAUCGUGUUUGCUGACGGUACCACGAGAAUAAGCACCGGCUAAUUUCGUGCCAGCCGCCGCCGUAA
rnacentral:rRNA from 1 species